rnacentral:rRNA from 1 species
AACGUAGGGGACAAGCGUUAUCCGGAUUUACUGGGCGUAAAGCGCCCGUAGGCGGCUUGAUAAGUUGGACGUGAAAGCUCCCGGCUUAACUGGGAGAGGCCGUUCAAAACUGACAGGCUAGAGUGAGGAAGAGGAGAGCGGAAUUCCCGGUGUAGUGGUGGAAUGCGUAGAUAUCGGGAGGAACACCAGUGGCGAAGGCGGUUGCCUGGAGCUUUGCUGACGCUGAGGCGCGAAAGCGUGGGGAGCGAUCCGG